AUGCGAAAAGUAGUGUGAAUUGCAGAAUUCAGUGAAUCAUCGAAUCUUUGAACGCACAUUGCGCCCCUUGGUAUUCCAUGGGGCAUGCCUGUUCGAGCGUCAUUUUGUACCCUCAAGCACUGCUUGGUGUUGGGCGUUUGUCCUGCAAAGGACUCGCCUGAAAGCGAUUGGCGGCCAACGUACUGGUGGUAGAGCGCAGCACAAUUUGCGUCUCUCCCUUCUACGUUGGCGUCCAUGAAGCCUUUUUUCAACGUUUGACCUCGGAUCAGGUAGGGAUACCCGCUGAACUUAA
rnacentral:misc_RNA from 1 species